rnacentral:other from 1 species
AUGAAGCUUAGGCGGGGAUAGCGAUUUUUGAGCCGAUGUCUUCCCAUAUCGGAGGUCUAACCUCUAGUGUGUGUGCAUGCCUAAAUCUUAGGAAGCCUAAUCAUUAGCGCGAGACUUCCACUUGAACCUUCUGGUUCAACGAUAAUCCUGUUCUCACUAAGCUUCUCU